GCUAGCGUAGCUUAACUAGAGCAUAACUCUGAAGAUGUUAAGGUGGACCUUGAAACGGUUCCGCAAGCA
ensembl:Mt_tRNA